UGCAGUCGAACGAGACCUUCGGGUCUAGUGGCGCACGGGUGAGUAACGCGUGGAAACCUACCAUUCUGUACGGAAUAACGAUUGGAAACGAUCGCUAAUACCGUAUACGCCCUGUGGGGGAAAGGUCCGCCGCAGAAUGAGGGGUCCGCGUCCGAUUAGCUUGUUGGUGGGGUAAAAGCCUACCAAGGCGAUGAUCGGUAGCUGGUCUGAGAGGAUGAUCAGCCACACUGGGACUGAGACACGGCCCAGACUCCUACGGGAGGCAGCAGUGGGGAAUAUUGGACAAUGGGGGCAACCCUGAUCCAGCAAUGCCGCGUGUGUGAAGAAGGCCUUAGGGUUGUAAAGCACUUUCAAUGGUGAAGAUGAUGACGGUAGCCGUAGAAAGAAAGCCCCGGCUAAACUUCGUGCCAGCAGCCGCGGUAAUACGAAGGGGGCGAGCGUUGUUCGGAAUUACUGGGCGUAAAGGGCGCGCAGGCGGCCAAUCCAGUCAGGUGUGAAAGCCCCGGGCUUAACCUGGGAACUGCACUUGAUACUGAUUGGCUAGAAAACGGAAGAGGGCAGUGGGAAUUCCCCAGUGUAGAGGUGAAAUUCGUAGAUAUUGGGAAGAACACCAGUGGCGAAAGCCGCUGCCUGGUCCGAUUUUGACGCUGAAGCGCGAAAGCGU
rnacentral:rRNA from 1 species